CUUCGAUGGUGGUAAGACGUACCUGUCUCUCUCUCCAGUGCAUCCCCAUUUUCUGAGAAUCGGUACGACCGAGGUCAACCCACAGGACGCUAGAAAGUUACCUGCUGGACAUUGGACAGAUGCACAUGUUGGACAGAGGAACAGGCCUUGGACAAUGGACCAUUGAAACGGAGGUGAUAAAACUAGAAGACAACAGACGAGCAGCCUUAGAAUUUCUCCAGCUUCCCCAGUGCAUACAUCUCGCACCUAGGAAUCCCCCCGCCCUUUGCUCUCCCUCUCUCUGGAGACCACCACGUGUUCCAUUAUUUUCCAUAGUGCAACCCCAUCUCCAUUGGCUCUGCAAUUCUGAAGAAACCAAGACCAGCACAUUAACCAGACUGAGGAGUUAGAUGCAGCCAUGGCUAAUGACUUGGAGGAAAUCAGAUGGAUUGACCGAAUCCGGGCUAUAACCUUCAGAGAGGCCAGGGAUGCUGGAGCAUCCUUCAUUUCACGUUCCUGGAUAGCUAAAUAUAUUAAAAGAGAUGAAUCCUUUGUAAAGGAAAUUGGAACAAAAAUCCAUAUGACUGUGAGAAGAGUGAGAAUCUUGGAGUGAGAAUAGCUGGGGCAGCGGGUAGACCAAGAAAGUCUUUACAUAAAUUGGUGCUUGAACUAGAAACAAAAAGGAGAAAGAAGAGAAGUCAUAGUGCUGUAUAUUGUGAGUUCAAAAAAUCUGGUAUCAAGCCAUUUCACGUUAUCAGCAAGCCCAACAUCACUCAGCAACAGAGAGAAGACUGUGCAUGGUUUUGUAGUUGAUUUCUUGAAGACUGGGAUGAAGCUGACUUUCUCCAUGUUGCCGCAUCAGAUGAAUUCUUCAUUUACACAGCCGGAAAGCCAAAUAAUAAAAAUAACAUAAUUUAGGCUGCAAAGUUGGAUGAUAUCAGCGAUGACAUGCUCUAUCGCCAAGUUGGGAAAUUUCCUGAAUGUUUGGGAAUUUUUCUCUGUUUCAUAGCCAAACGGUUAAUGUGUUUCAUCAAAGAAAAAGGACAGUCAUGGAAUGGGGAAUACAUCAGAGAAACUAUGCUUCCUGGUGAAGUAUUGCCUUUCCUCAAAGAUCCUGAAAAUGUGUUAAAGAAGUCACAUUUUUGCAUGAUGAGGCACCAUGUUUCAAGGCUCUUCAGACAAAGGAGCUGCUUGGAAACAUUAGUAUUGAUUUCUUCUCAUCAAGUGAAUUUCCAAGUAGCUCCCCUGAACUUAAUGUUUGUGAAAACAUUGGUAGUAUCUAAAAGAAUAGUGUUGAAGCGCGCACAGUGAACUAUGAUGGUAUACCAAGCCUCGACAACCUGCGAAGAGAGGUGACCAAAGUGCUCGAGGAAAUCGAGUUUGAGUCUCAGAUUUGUUUAGAUUUCCUGAAAUCAUACUCCUCAAGAAUGCAGGCUGUUGUACAAGGAGAUGGAGGCCACACAAAAUAUUGGAUACUC